rnacentral:rRNA from 1 species
GACGAACGCUGGCGGCGUGCUUAAUACAUGCAAGUCAACGACUUUUGAAGUAGCAAUAUUUCAGGAGGAGUGGCGCACGGGUGAGUAACACGUAGGCAAUCUACCUUUAGGACUGACACAACUCGUCGAAAGACGGGCUAAUAUCAGAUAAUGCAGCGGCUCCGCAUGGAGACAGUUGUUAAAGUACAAGCGCCUAAAGAUGAGCCUGCGGUCCAUUAGGUAGUUGGUAGAGUAAUAGCCUACCAAGCCAACGAUGGAUAGCUGGUCUGAGAGGAUGAUCAGCCACACUGGAACUGAGACACGGUCCAGACUCCUACGGGAGGCUG